rnacentral:lncRNA from 1 species
GGAGAGAUCAAUAAGAUCAAAGGCACGGAUGAAGUUGAUGAAGCCGAAGGUGAUGGCUCUAGAUUGAGGAUUUCCAUUCCUUUCAUGAAGCUCAUAUGUUGCAUUAAAAUCCUUCCCCCCCUAAUGAUCCAGGGGCCAAGAAAGGCAGUACGGAUAUUAUAUAGUUCUUGCCAGAAUGAGGCUUUGAGAUUAAAUUUAGUGAGGCCAUAGACCACAGUGAAGCACCAAGAUUGAUUGAUCACUCGAUCCCAUCAAAGAAUGGUGUUAGAUAAGGAAUGACUCUCUUGUCUAAUUGGAGAGAAUCGUGCAGAACACCGGUCAAGAAAAAUAUCACCGGCAGUACCACUGACAUCAAGAGAAACACCCCCCCCC